AUAAAGUAGCAAAUUAUCGUUCCUGAAUAGGUGGCGCCGUGGUAGCCGAUCCUGUUCUUCAACUUCCGGUUUCUGCAUUGAGCAACUAUUACAGUUGCAUUUUUAAUUAACGAUGCCAAGUACUUGUUGUUGUGUACCUGGAUGUCAUUUAAGAGGAGGACAUGCAUUUCCAAAUGACUUAAAAAGAAGGAAAAGUUGGAUCAACGACAUGGCCCAUACGCAGAUUGGACGAGAACACGAUGAAAUCGUGGAGUCCAUCUCAAUCAGCUGUUGUUUGCAAGGCACAUUUUACUGAAAAAGACUACGUGCAGGAAACUAUUCAUGGGCGCAAACCCACCAUACAGAGACUUAAGUCUACUGCCAUUCCCAGCCUAUUUUCCUGGACCAAGCAAGAGACUGAAUCGUCCUCAAAAAGAAAAAUCAGGGCAGUUUCCUGUGAAAACAAAAGAACUAAACUUGAUGAAUAUUGUAGUAGAAAUCUAGAGGAAAGUUUUGAUUGUAAAGUUGGUUUUCCUGAAGAAGUCAUUCAUACUGCAGACAGGAUUUAUGACUGUCCACCACCAACUGCCGAGCUAAUGUUGAGCUUCACAGAUGGAAUUACGCAAACACAAUCAAUGCAUAUAUUUUCAGCAGAGAAUUUUGAAAUGAAGACAAGUGACACAGCCAUGCAUUUUUAUACCGGUUUAGAGUUGUAUACUAAAUUUUUAUUUGUUUUGACCACACUUGGUCCAGCAGCACAUUGUUUGAGAUACAUAUAUUUUCAAAUUGAUAGGGUGUCAUUUGGAAAUCAAUUUUUUUAUGACUUUGAUGAAAUUGAGGCAUUAUACAACCAACUUUGAACUGUCUAGAUUCUAGAUUGAAACUAGUGUUAAAAAUAUUGUGUAAACAUGGAUUGUUUUUAUGUCUAAACAGUGGCGUGAGGCUAACACUUGGCCAUUUAGUGGUUUAGUCAGGUAUUUUUUGCCAUCCAACUUCAAAUUAAAGUUUCCUACAACUUGGAUUAUUAUUGACAGCACAGAAUAUCCCGUGAUAAAACCUAAAGCCUCCUAGAGCUCAGGCAACCUUUUCAUCAUAUAAAAACAGAAACACUAAAAAUACUUGUAUGUUUUCGACACCUGGUGGUUUAGUCAACUGUGUCUCUAAUGCAUAUGUUGGUUGUACCAGUGACUGUGAAAUAGUUGAAAGAUGUAGAAUAGUUCAAUUAUGUGAUCCAGGUGACAGUGUGAUGGCAGACAAAGGUUUAAAUGUGCAAGAUUUGUUUCCUCACUUUUUUUCAAAAAAAGAAACAGAAUUAGUUCCAAAACUCUUAGCCCCAAAAAAAAAAUAUGUCUGUUUAAGGUUACAUACUUUAAAAAUAUUGGGUAGGUAGGUCGGUAUUUUCAUUUUAUUUUAUUUUUUCAUUUUAUUUUUUGUGACAUGAUUUUGAGUCAUGCCGUUUCGACUUGUCGUGGUCUGAGUUGAUCAUGGGCCGAGUUUACCCGUAUUUUUGAUGAUUGGAUUAUUUCCCUUGGAAAAAAAUGGUGGCAAAGUGUUUAUUUCAUCACACGAGUUGCGAAUUUCCUUAAAACCGCUGUCAUAUUCACGAUUGUGAACAUUGGGAUGUAUCAGGCAAUUGAUUUAUAUCAUUUGCAACACUAACUAUGCAAGUUCAGUUUAUUUUUCACUUUACAAAGGAAAUAAAAUGACUUAGGGUCGGCGCUCAAAAGUAGGGUAGGUCGGGUAACCGUAAACAGACAUAUUUUUUUUUUUGCCUUAUACGGGAUAGAAAAGUCUCCAAUUAACACGUGCACAUAGACAUGAUAGAGCUAAGUAUUGGACUUGGCAAAACAUACAAAAUUCUAAUAAAUCCUAUGAAUGGAAUUGAAACAAAACUUUCAUCUGAAAUAACAUUUAGUUGUUUUAUGUUGUGUAAUUUUAGAACUUGUAUUGUGCCAAAGGAUGCAUAAAUAAAAGUGACGCAAUGAA